AGCUCAGUUGGGAGAGCGCUUGCAUGGCAUGCAGGCAAGAGGCGGUUCGAUCCCGCUCAACACCA
rnacentral:tRNA from 1 species